CUUGACAGGCAGAAUAGAAAGUAGUAAGAUACGCAGAGUGUAAAAUCAUUAACUCUGUUUGCCUAGAGUGACAGAAUUAUAGGGACUGGCCCAGUCUAUACUUUAAACAAUAUUCCAGGCAGUCAAUUUUAAUGUGUUUACAUUAUUAGUGAGUUUCCAUUUUUUCCCCACUUUCACUAUAGCUGAAAACAUUUGGAUAUUUUUCCACUUAAUUAAAUUAAC